UCGAGAAUUUCUGGCAAUGGGGGAAACCCUGACCAAGCGAUGCCGCGUGUGGGAUGAAGGCCUUCGGGUUGUAAACCACUGUCAGUGGGGAGAAAAGGACCGGUGUACCCGGUUUUGAUCUAUCCGCAGAGGAAGUGUGGGCUAAGCUCGUGCCAGCAGCCGCGGUAAGACGAGCCACACGAACGUUAUUCGGAAUUACUGGGCUUAAAGGGUGCGUAGGCUGCGCGGAAAGUUGGGUGUGAAAUCCCUCGGCUCAACCGAGGAACUGCGCCCAAAACUGCCGUGCUCGAGGAAGAUAGAGGUAAGCGGAACUUACGGUGGAGCGGUGAAAUGCGUUGAUAUCGUAAGGAACACCUGUGGCGAAAGCGGCUUACUGGGUCUUUUCUGACGCUGAUGCACGAAAGCUAGGGGAGCAAACGG
rnacentral:rRNA from 1 species